CAGACCUUUCAGAGACACUGAACACACCAGCAGCACAAUGAUGAUGUCACUAACUCUACUGCUGACCACCCUGGGGCUCCUUGUUCAGGGUUCAUCAGGAGAAAUCAUCCUGACUCAGACUCCUGGAUCUCAGUCUGUUGUUCCAGGACAGACUGUCUCCAUCACAUGUAAAACCAGUACAGAUGUUAGCGACUGGCUUCACUGGUAUCUUCAGAAACCAGGAGAAGUUACUAAAUUUCUUAUUUAUCGAGCUACAACUCUUCAGUCAGGAUUUCCAAGUCGUUUUAGUGGAAGUGGAUAUGGGACUGACUUCACUCUGACCAUCAGUGGAGUUCAGGCUGAAGAUUCAGGAGUUUAUUACUGUCAGCAGAGUAGCAGCUUCCCGUUCACACAGUGAUACAACGUCGUACAAAAACCUCCCUCAGCUGGAGAGGAACUGAUCUGAACCAACAGCUGCACUGAAACUAGAAAAACAGAGAUUUCACUAAACAAUCUUGUUUAAA